AUUGCUUUUCUUUAUUUUUCAAUUAACAAGAAUUCAUGAUGCAUCACGCUAUCAUGUUCUGCAUUAUUAGUUUGAUUCAGGAACGUAUAAAUCUAAUGAAAUUGUAACUUUGGUUCAGGAAAUUUACAGGCUUCUAAAACCGCCGCAUUGAAGUGCGAAAAAGCAAAAUUUGAACAGUACAAACUUAUGGUUGGUGAUCGAUUGUCAGCUGACGAUACUCAUCGUCAUGAAUAAUCAUCUUGCAAGAUUGACUUUUGGAGCACUGAAUACUUGGCCAUCAUCAAGGGCGUCAGUAAGCUUUCUCAGUUUCACAUGAUUCGUCUGUAUUCAGUCACAAAUUGCUGCAUUAAACAUCAUGUGAUUCGUGAAGUUUAAAUCUCAAAUUAUAAUCAUAACAUUAAUUUUAUCUAUGCUAGUUCUGUACCUUCUCACAGAAGAUAAAAUGCAUUGUGGUUUUACUAGCAUACAGUAUAGUUACAGCUUUACCAUGAGUGAAGAGGCUUGGGAAAUGUGAAAUUUGCACCCUUGUAUGGUUUUUAAAUUGGCAAAUCUAUUGUAGUUCAUUUUUUUACUUUGAGUGUGCAGGGUAGUUCUUUUGGUCUUCACUUCAUUUUCUAGAAUUCUAGGAGUGAUACAACGUAUUUUUUAGCAUUUAUACUCAUUUCAAAUAGUGUUUGUUAUUCUUAUAUGUCACUCAUCAAAUGAACUUUUCUUUUUCUCUUUACUGCUGGGAGUAUCAGAGUUACUUCAGAAAAAACUUAAAAGUUACACUCAUAAAAACGGCUUUUGCUUACGCAGAGGAAAAGGGCUAACUAACCUGGAGCUGCAUACCAAAGGUGCCUGCAAAUGUGGUCCAGCUGCUUGAAUCAGGCUUUAGAAACUUGGCUGUUCCAAAAUCUGAAAGUUGAGCUUCAUAGGAUGAAUCCAAAAGGAACAUUCUUGCUUGAUAUGUCACGAUGAACUAUCGGAGUAUGCCAGUCGUGAUGCAUAGGACACAGCUUAGCCACGCUCGAACAACAUCACCCUCUUUUCCAAUCAAAUGCAGUGGCUUUUUGUCUAUGUUUAGCAUUUGAGUCAAAGUUCCACCUUCAAGACUUUAUAACCAACAAAUUGAGAUCUUGAUGUUGACAAUAUCCUAGAGCUUUAUGAUGUUACGAUGCCUGAUUUCUGUCAAAGCUUUGAAUUUCAUUUUCGAAGCCUUGGAACUGCAUUGGGACAAAUUGUUUUCCAAUGGUUUAUGACAAAGAAGGUCAUCGGUUUACUACAAUGUUUUUGGCGAGUUUGAGAAAAGAGAAUUGUUAUCAAAAAGUUUCUCUGACGACGAGAGAGAAACAAGUUUAUCCGUUGGAGGAUUCAGUCAUUGGAGAAAAGUGUUAGAAACUCGACUUGCUCCAUCUGGAACGCUACUAUUGUUCAAAUUAAUGAUCUUAAAAAAUUCUCCUGAUUUGUUAAGAGGAGCUUAGACAAGCUACUACAGGCACUUCAAUUGCUUCAGGAUAAUACCCCGAAUUUGUUGCCAAACAGGUAUUAACAGUAUCUUGAUUUUUUAAAUUGUUGGAGUUUUUCAGUGUUUAGUGACUAAUAUCGUUGCUUAAUUUGGUGCCUUUUUUUGUUUGUUCUGUUUGUGUAGAUUUUUAUCAUGUUCCUUGGUGGUACCUUGCCUUUCUAGGAUGAUUAGUCCUUUCCUGACACACGAGACAAGAGCAAAUUUGUAUUUGCUGGCUCCUCCAAAUCUUCUAUACCCUUUUCAAGUAAGUCUUUCCUUCUCCUUUUUAGUGGUUUCAUCGUAAAUAUGAGUCAUGUUUUUUAGCCCAUAAGAAGAAAGUUAUGUGGUUUUAUAUCACCCUAUAAGUCUAUAAAUCUGGCUAUAAAGUAGUUUUUUGCUGCCAUGCUUGAUAUUGUGAAAACUAUGUCCAAAUACCACUAUUCCAACAACAGGUUUUAAAUUGCCUACAAAGUAGUUUUACGUUGCUAUUCUUGAUAUUGUGAAAAAUUGAUGUCAAACACCACUCAUGCAAGGAGUUAAGUCAUAAUUCAAUCCUGGUGGUAUUGCGUAGAGUUUGAUCAAAUACAGUUGGUGUAGCCUCAACUAUAGUUGCGUUAUGGUUGCAGAGACCUAGAAAACCUUGACUUUGUAGUUCAGUUCCAGUCCUAGGAUGCGCUGCAGUUAUAGUUGCUGAUAAUUUUGGAUCCUUUGGGAACAUCCUUAUUAUUAUCCAUUAUUUGAUGUUGUUAUUUAGUAGUCUUUUGCAUAAUAUUUGGACUGGAACAGAAUUAUUAGCUUGAGCAAGUGCCAGUUCUUAGAGAUUAGAGAGAAGCGCCGGACAGGAAUUCACCACGGUGCCCUGCCACGAGGUUUUUAUCAAACCGCAACAAACAUGUGUUGAGUUCCAAUUUCCUGACGUGAGAAUAAAAUUGUUGAUAGCAUCUUGUUAUAGUUUUAAAUUGCCGGUUAGCUUUCUGUGAACCUUAUUGCUAUUAUUAAGCCUUUUGUUGUGAUUUUGUCGUUCUUUUGGAUUGGUAUGGUGUGUUAUGCAGUGUGGGAUCUCAGAUUUUGGGGUAUAUUGGUUUAAUUUAGUUCUCCAACACUUGUUAAGGAUGAAAAGUUAGCUAUAAAGCAGUCAAAGUAGCAUGCUAAGGUAAUGGGCAGCUAAAGGAUUAAGGAUUGAGAUUGCAUUUGAAAUGCUUUUACUGCCAAAGCUCUUAGUUGCUCUUUUGUUUAACUUAUAUUUUAUAUGUAUUUUUGAGAUUGAAGAAAAGUGUCUCCAUUGGUUACUAUUUGAUGGUAUUCCCAAUUGUAAAUUAAUUAAUUCUCAUUAUAUUUUUUUUUGCUUGUUUGAUUUUGUAUUAAAGCCAAUUAUAUUUAUGUCUUAUUGUAUAACUUUAAUAUUUAUGAAAAUUGUAUAGUAUUUAAAAUCGAUUGUGGGCUCAAUUAAAUAAUUUUGCUAAAUGUGUUGAUUAUUGAAUUUGAAUGAAAAUUUCUAUAAUGUUAAAAAAAAUCUGUUACCGAAGUUUUUAUGAAAAAGUUUAGGAAAUUUUAAAAUGCGAUCUUUAAAUAUUUUUAGUCCCAAAUAAACCCGAGGAAAACCCGGUCCGUUUUAACCGCAAUCCGAUCUGGACCCAACCCGGCUAAAUCAAUGUUAAAAUUGGGCGGAAAUGGGCCACACUAAUGUAUCUGCGGGUUGGACUGGGUGUUGAUUUUGGGCCCGAACCCGCCCAACCCGGCCCGUUGUCCAGCCCUAAGCAGAGUGUAUAAAUGUUUGUGGUUGACCAAAAAAGAGUGGUGGUAGUUGUGAUGGUGGUGAGUAUAUUUGAGUAUUGGUUAGGGCUGGCCUUGUGUGGGGCAGGGAAAGGGUAUGGGUAUAUGCAUAUUGGGAAAAUAUGUGUUGAUUACCAUAUUUUCAAAAUUAUAGGGGUUUAAGGGUAAAUAUGAUAUACGAGCAGUAAAAUAUAAUUCUAAAUAGUCAUAUCCAUUUCAUUAGGAAGUUACAUCUUAAAUACUAGAGUAACCCUAAUGGGCAAUUCACUACUGUGUCAGGUUCACUUGAAGGAGUUAGACAAAAUAACACAAUACUACUAAUAAUAAUAACUCUAGACGAUUAAGGAACAAAGUCUCUUAAUUGGAGUGACUUUGAAAUAACUCUUUUGGGCUAACUUGAUUGCUAUCAAUGUCUUUCUAUAUCUUUUAAAAUUCAACAAGGUAUCAACAUUAUGAAAUAUAAUUAGAAGGUAAGAGAAGCAUAACUUUGAGGCGUUUGAAAAUGGUAAGUGUAGCUAAGGUUGUCUGAAUUGAGACUUCAAGAAAAAAAAAAGGUUGAUAUGCGAAAUUGACUCGUAUAUUCGAUUUGUAGCUGAAAAGAAUUUUUCUAUCAUUAAAAUAAUAUUUAUCUGAUCUAUAUAAUUUUAUAAAAUAUUAAAUCUUUCAUCAAUUAAAAUAUUCAUUUCAAUUAUAAAAAAAAUCUAGUAAAGAAGAAAAAGAAACCAGUUAAAAAUUUAUAUGAACAAAUUUGGUAAAAUUACACCAGAGGUCUUUUAAGUUAUUUUGUUUAAAUUUUUUUUCAAAAAAUUGAUCCUUUAAUUACCAAACGCGUGUACUAUUACCAAUUUUUAAUAGAAUGAAGAGACUAAUUGUGGAUGUAAUUAUUUUGAGUGAUAUAAAAUGAUGAAUUGCAACAAAAAAUACAAUAAUCACACAUUUUUAAAUAUUCAAAAUACGAGAAAAAUGAUGUAGAAGUCGCUUUAAUUGAUCAAGUUGUUACAAAGAAAAAUUUAAAGACCAACCUAUCAUGGACGAAGGUAUGUAGAUUGAUAUGGGGCAUGUGCCCCCACUAUUUUUUUAAAAUAUAUUUAAAUAUAAUUAUACUAUAUUUAUUUAAAAUAAUAUAACCCUUCAAUUAAUUAAAAAAUAUUCUUCCUAUUAAAAAUUACAUAUUAACAUAUGUUAUAUAAAUAAUUGUUUAGAGUCCCGUCAAUUAAUUGACGGGAAUAUUUUUGUUAUAGAUAUAUUAUUUAAAUAAUUAUUUAGGCCGUUCAAAAUUAUUGUGAAUUUUUUAAUUUGAAAAUCAAUUUUAAAAUCAAAAUAUAUUCAACUAAAAUAUAGUCAAAUUAAUUUUAUGCUUUAUUUAAAAAAUCAUUAAAAUUAAAAAAAAAUAUUUCAUUUGUUUUUAUUUUAACUAUAAGAUAUCAUCAAAAAAUAUUGCAAACAACUACUCGUAUUAUGAUUAAUUAAUUAUAUAUAUCGAUAGACCAAUUUACAAGGAUCUAUAGCAUGAUCUAUUUAAGUCUGACCAAAUCUUGUCUAUUUAAUAAAAAGUUAGACUUCAAUUUUUUAAAAGUAUAUUUAGUUAAAUAGGUUAUGAUUAAGCUAUUAAAAAAGCAUAUGAUGUCUUAUAGAUUCGUCCAUAUAUGCAUAUUUAUAAUAAAAUAGGUUAAAUAGUAUAUAAAAGACCAUGUGGUUUAUGAAUAAAAAAAAUAAAAUUGACUAUUUGAAAAUUUUAAUAUGAAAUAGAAUCUUAAAAAAACUCUAAGAUCAUGCCAAACUUUUGAAAAGGUUAAAUCAGAUAUAAAAAAAACUUAUAAUAAGUUAAAUGUCAAACUCAAACCUUAAAAAAAUUUGUAGUCUAAGCUCAAGUUUACUAAGGUCCCCGACCUACCAUAUUCCCACUUUUAUUAUAUAAAUAGAUAAAUAAAUAAUUUUGUUGAUAAUUAAAUUGAAAAAUUAUUAAAUAUCUUCAUAAGAUAAAUCUCAUUAUAUAUAACUUAAAGAACCUCUGGUGUAAUUUUGUCAACAAAUUAAAACUUAAAGGAUCUCUGGUAUAAUUAAAUUUAAAAUUUUUGGUUCUGUCCCUGCAACCUAUUACAAUAAUAUAACUUAAAGGAUCUCUGGUGUAAUUUUCUCAACAAAUUAAAAUAUUUGUCAUAUUUCUUCAAGUUUAUCCAAUUGCACAGAAGUUUAGUCAUGUUUACUAUUAAUCCAACUGAAAAAGGCGUGAUUCCAUCGCUAAAUUUACUAAUAUUUGGUUUACAUAUAUAUCAACUUGAAAUUGAUAUCCAGACUCGUGAAAUCCUACCUAUAUCAACUUUGAAUGCAAAAAAGAAAACACUACUAUAAAAAGUAGAUUUCGUAACAAAAUUUCAUCUAGGCCAGUUAUCAACAAUGGUAGAAUCUAUUCAAUUAAGUGUAUUCUUUUCAUUUUUAUUUGUAAGACACUUUUUAUCACAGUCAAAGUUUUCAAACGUGGGAAAAAGUGGGAUUUGGUCAUGAGUUCGAAUCUCAGUAGCAACUUUGUUUUUGUCCGGUCAUACGUUCGAAUCCUAGCACCACCAAUUUUGUUUAUUAUUUAUUUUUAAGCCACUUUUUAUCACAAUUGGAAUUUCAACAUUGGUGAAAAGUGAUGUCGGGUCAUAUGGGUUCAAAUCACAGCACCAACAGUUUUAUUUUUAUUUAUUUUAAAGAUAUUUUUCACCACGGCUGGAAUUCCUAUUUUUUUAUAAAAAAAUUUAAGUUAAAAAUACAUAAAAUUUCAAAGAUAUAUAACGCUCCACGUUCAUUCACUUUUUCCUAGAUGAACUUAAAUGAACUUUAUCUUUUACCUCCAAACUUCAUCUUCUAUUUAUGAAAAUUUAUUUCUCCAUUAACAAAAGUUGAAAACACCAUUUCUUUCAUAAAUGAAACUAGAAAACAUCAUUCGUUUCAUCAACGAGUUUUAGAAUUUCAUCAUCUCUUCUCCAGCUUGAACGGGGCAAGAAAAACUUGAUUUCAAGUUAACAAUAUUUAUUGUUGUUUUGUCAGGUAAAAUAUUAAAUAUUGUUGUUUUUAUUAUUGAAAUUUUAUAUUUAAUGAUUUUACUGAUUUUGUUGUUGUUGAAUGUUGUUGUAUGUUGUUGUUGUUGUUAAUUUUUAGUUGUUUUUGUUAUUGUUAUUGAGGCUUAAUGUUUAACGAUUCUAUUAAUUUAGUUUUUUUUGUUGUUGUUGUGGUUGUUAUUGUUGUUGAGAUUUAAUGGUUAACGAUUAUAUUGAUUUAGUUUUCAUUGCUUUGAGGUUGUUGUUAUUGAGAUUUAAUAUUUAAUGAUUCUAUUGAUUUUGUUUUUAUUGUUUUAUGGUUGUUGUUGUUAUUGAGAUUUAUAGUUUAUUGAUAUUAUUGAUUUUGUUUUUUUGUUGUUUUUGAGAUUUAAUGUUUAGCGAUUAUAUUGAUUUUAUUUUACUGAUGUUGUUGUUGUUAUUAUUGUUGUUGUUAUUGUUGUUGUUGUUAUUGUUAUUGUUGAUGUCGUUGUUGUUGUUGUUGUCGUCAUUGUCGUUGUCAUUUUUAUUGUCGUUGUCGUAGUCUUUAUCGUCGUCGUUGUUGUUGCUGCUGCUUUUGUGUUAUAAAUGUUUAAUAUUCUAUAUUGUGAUGGAAGUUCCCAAUGGAGUCAGUCAAUUCAUUUGACAAAAUUUAAAAAUUGGGCUUAGUGACUUUUUAUUAUGGUUGGAAGUUUCAACCAUGAUGAAAAAUUUACUGACUACAUUUCACCAUGGUUGAAACUUCCAACCAUGAUAAAAAGUAGUGCGAUAUUUAGUUUUUCACCAAAGAUUUCAACCCAUAGUGGAGAGUAUUGGACUUACUACCACACCUUUAGUUAUCAUGGACCACCAUCCGUGGUCAAAUUCUUUCCUCAUCUGCAGUGAUAAAUACUUUUUAUAGUAGUGAAAAAUACAAAAAUUUCAGACUUUAAAAAUAUGUGUAAAUAUGGUUGAAAAUAUGUUAUGAAGCACAAAUUUUUAUUUAAAGUUAUUCAUUUAUAAAUAUUACAAAUUUGAUUAUAUUAAUACAUAAAUAUAGUUUACAUUUAUAAUAACUCUAAAAUUGAGAAAGAAUAAGAUAAUUAGUAACUGUUUUUGUUUUCUUACCAUCAUUUUAGAGUAGAAAAUCAUAAAUGCAAAGUUUAUGAAACAUAGAAAUGAAAAAAUAUAAAAAGUUUAAAGAGCUUGUUCAAUAAUUAACUGACAACUUACGUAAAUAACGAAAAAUACAAAAUGUGUCCAUGCAUGUAACAAUCAUUUCGUUUCCACCAAGUUUUGGGCAAUCAUAAUCAGUUUCACAUUUAAUACGAGCUCCUGUAAUGAAAAAUAAUGAUAAAAAAUAUUAUGAAAAAAUGAUAAAAAAUUAUGUGCAAACUAUAAAUUAAAUAAUAAAUCUAAAAAGAAUUAAAUAAUGACGUACCAAUCUUCUGUGUUGAGAUAACAACUAAGGAACAAAAUAAAAUCAAAAUAAAAAAAAGUUUGAGAAUUUUAGAAUACAGUUUAUCUCUAUUACUUAAGAAGUUCAUGCUUUCUUGUAAAUAAUUAAAUAGUAGACUUUACACUAUAAAUUUGUAAGAGCCCUUUAUAUAUUAAUAAUUAUUAGUAGUGUGUUGUGUUUGUUUCUUAGUUCAUUAUAUAAUGAGAUCAAAUAAUAACAAUAAUAAUAAAACAGAAAUA
rnacentral:lncRNA from 1 species